GUAGGGAAUCUUCCACAAUGGACGCAAGUCUGAUGGAGCAACGCCGCGUGAGUGAAGAAGGUCUUCGGAUCGUAAAACUCUGUCGUUAGAGAAGAACACGAGUGAGAGUAACUGUUCAUUCGAUGACGGUAUCUAACCAGCAAGUCACGGCUAACUACGUGUCAG
rnacentral:rRNA from 1 species